CCUGAUUUUGAGAGAAAUUUCAUUCUUCAGACUGAUGCCUCAGAGAGAGGAUUGGGAGCUGUUCUGUUACAGGGACCGCCUGGAGAGCGUCAUCCAGUGGCCUUCAUCAGCCGAAAGCUGUUUCCGAGGGAAGUGCGAUACUCAACCAUCGAGAAGGAGGGACUUGCCAUCAAAUGGGCCCUGGACUCCUUUAGGUAUUAUCUUCUCGGACGGGAGUUCAUAUUGGAAACAGACCACAAGGCUCUUCAAUGGAUAGAGAGAAUGAAGGACACAAAUGGAAGGAUCACGCGAUGGUACCUUGCAAUCCAGCCAUUCCGGUUCACCAUCAACCACAUCCCCGGCAAGGAUAACUGCACUGCA